AGCCUUUAUUUGGGCUUUUAGGAAAUUUUUUUAUUUUAUAAGAUUAUGCCGGGGAAGGUUUUCCGGUUUAUCCCGGAGGGCUUGUAGCUCAGUUGGUUAGAGCGCGCGCUUGAUAAGCGUGAGGUCGGAGGUUCAAGUCCUCCCAGGCCCACCAAUUUCAUUAAGUGCUUAUAAAGUCAUUAAGUGCUGCUUAUAAAAAUCAUGAAGUUCUUAAAGGUAAGUACUUAUUUAAAAGAAAAGUAAGUACUUAUUAAAAGGUAAGUGGUUAUAAAGCGCUUAUAAUUUAUAUAAAGAUGAAAAUGUGAUGUUUAUCAAUUGCGCUAAAGUGAUUGGAACUCCGCUUU
rnacentral:misc_RNA from 1 species